rnacentral:rRNA from 1 species
UACGUAGGGUGCAAGCGUUAAUCGGAAUUACUGGGCGUAAAGCGUGCGCAGGCGGUGAUGUAAGACAGUCGUGAAAUCCCCGGGCUCAACCUGGGAACUGCAUCUGUGACUGCAUUGCUGGAGUGCGGCAGAGGGGGAUGGAAUUCCGCGUGUAGCAGUGAAAUGCGUAGAUAUGCGGAGGAACACCGAUGGCGAAGGCAAUCCCCUGGGCCUGCACUGACGCUCAUGCACGAAAGCGUGGGGAGCAAACAGG